UCUGUCGAUUGUUGACUCCAUAUAACCCAUCCCAAUCCGGGGAUUCCGGGGGAGACAGAACAAGAGAAGGCCACUCUGCCGGCAGCGAGGCCUGCUCCUCUUCCUCCGGCGAUCGCCUCCGUCACCGCUGCCGCUUCCGAGGAAGAUUCGGCUAUGUAUAUCAGAGUGAAGCGAAACAAGAUCCAACAGAGACAUCUUUAAACAUUAAACAAAAGUUGUAUUCAUUAAUCGACCAGUCUCCCAGUAAUCAACGACUGAUCUUGUUGGCAACAAUGAUGUAUUGGAUGAUUCACAGUCAUUGGCAAAUCAGAAGGUUGAAAAUGAUGCCAUUGUUGCAUUAACACUAAGAAAAUGUUUUGUUCUAUUCUUACUGCUUAACAGCAUUACUAGUUUAGUUUUGAGCUCAGAUUUAGUUUGAUAUUAUGCUCUUUAACUAUACGCGAUAGAUUGUUUGUGGUUGCUAUCCAGGCUUCUUAGUUGUAACUGUUGAGGAAAUAUCUAUUUUUGUAGAGCAUGAAAUCUAAUAUGGCAACGAGUAUUGUCAUCAACUGCCUAAUUUGUAAAGGUGCUUCAAUUUCCUAGCAGUGUUUCAUUUCUUGGUGACUUUGAAGUUUAUCUGGGUAACUUUCUUUUACUCUGAUAUCAUGAUCCAUGAAUCUGCACUGCACGAGAAGUACAUUUUGUUACUUUUACUCGUGCUCACUACUUGCAAAAGAGUCUUGAUGCUUUGGAACAAAAUCAGGUAUAAAUGCAAGUGGUAGCUAAAUUUCAUCUUCUCCACCCACAAAUACAAUGAUAGGAUCAGGCCACGGCCAAGCACAUAUCUUGAUGAUUGCCUUUAAUGUCUAGCUUAUAAUGUACCAGGGACUGUACAAACAGAAUGGAUUAUUUAGUGCAUCUUGCAAGUGUUAUAUUCCCCCAUUCAUAACCAUGGAAGUUCCAUGUGUCUGUGCUUCUGUCUAAAGAUUGGUGAAUAAGAAUAAGCCUUUCAACCGGGUUCUACAUAUCCUAGCUGCCCCUGUCAAGAGCUGUUGCAAUAUCUGGAAAAGAGCCUGACCGUUUAUCUGUUCUUUCAUCAGAGAACAAUCAGUUCGAGGAUGUUUUCAUUGCAAGGCCAGAAGACUUCACAUUGCCCUCAUGAUGCAUACGCUUUUGCUUCUGUAUUAUCUUAUGAUGCCUGUAAGGUCUUGUUUCUUUUACUUUGUGACCGUGUAGGUUACUGGAUUUGUGCAGACUGUUGUUAAGGAUGUUGGGCAACGAUUAUGCAUUGCAUUAAGUCGAUUUGACUGCCUUA